CAGUCGCUGCGGUAAUACGUAGGGUGCAAGCGUUAAUCGGAAUUACUGGGCGUAAAGCGUGCGCAGGCGGUUAUAUAAGACAGAUGUGAAAUCCCCGGGCUCAACCUGGGAACUGCAUUUGUGACUGUAUAGCUAGAGUACGGCAGAGGGGGAUGGAAUUCCGCGUGUAGCAGUGAAAUGCGUAGAUAUGCGGAGGAACACCGAUGGCGAAGGCAAUCCCCUGGGCCUGUACUGACGCUCAUGCACGAAAGCGUGGGGAGCAAACAGGAUUAGAUACCCGCGUAGUCCCUGUCUCUUAUAC
rnacentral:rRNA from 1 species